AGCGAACGCUGGCGGCAGGCCUAACACAUGCAAGUCGAACGAAGCCUUCGGGCUUAGUGGCGGACGGGUGAGUAACACGUGGGAACGUACCUUUUGGUUCGGAAUAACGCAGAGAAAUUUGCGCUAAUACCGAAUGUGCCCUUAGGGGGAAAGAUUUAUCGCCGAAAGAUCGGCCCGCGUUGGAUUAGGUAGUUGGUGUGGUAAAGGCGCACCAAGCCUACGAUCCAUAGCUGGUCUGAGAGGAUGAUCAACCACACUGGGACUGAGACACGGCCCAGACUCCUACGGGAGGCAGCAGUGGGGAAUCUUGCGCAAUGGGCGAAAGCCUGACGCAGCCAUGCCGCGUGAAUGAUGAAGGUCUUAGGAUUGUAAAAUUCUUUUACCAGGGACGAUAAUGACGGUACCUGGAGAAAAAGCCCCGGCUAACUUCGUGCCAGCCGCCGCAGUAAGAC
rnacentral:rRNA from 1 species